AUGGUUGUGGUGUUGGGAUGGGUCAUAGAGAAAUUGAACAAAAGCGUCGUAGUCUACAAAGCCGGUGAUAUUGAAAAGGAAGAAGAGAAUGAGUAUGGUGAAAAUAGUGAAACUAGAAACUAUGGUGGAAAACCUCGUAAAGAAUUUGUAUAUAAUCCUGACAUGGAAAAUUUCAAAACACCAGAAAAAAAGAAUGUGCAAGAGGAUGAUGAAGAUGAUAUUAAUGAUUCUAAAGAUAAGAGACCUUAUUAUUGCACACCUGAAUAUUGGAAUAGUUUCAAGGAUGAUAAAGAAGAUCCUAUCGAAGUUCCUAAGGUAUCUGAUGAGAAAUCUGUUACAUCUUUAGGAACAGAUGAAAUCGCAUCACGUGGAUCCGUAGAUUCUAUUGGAAAGAUGAGGUACAGGAGGAGGUUGUAG
rnacentral:rRNA from 1 species